UACGGAGGAUGCGAGCGUUAUCCGGAUUUAUUGGGUUUAAAGGGUGCGUAGGCGGACGCUUAAGUCAGCGGUAAAAUUGAGAGGCUCAACCUCUUCCCGCCGUUGAAACUGGUGGUCUUGAGUGGAUGAGAAGUACGCGGAAUGCGUGGUGUAGCGGUGAAAUGCAUAGAUAUCACGCAGAACUCCGAUUGCGAAGGCAGCGUACCGGCAUCCAACUGACGCUGAGGCACGAAAGCGUGGGGAUCAAACAGG
rnacentral:rRNA from 1 species